rnacentral:tRNA from 1 species
GGAGGGGUGCCGGAGAGGCUGAUCGGGGCGGUCUCGAAAACCGUUGUGGGGUUUAUCCUCACCGUGGGUUCGAAUCCCACCCCCUCCG